rnacentral:ncRNA from 2 species
GUUACUAAAGAAGGCGAUGAACCACAGUCUGUAUUUGGACGCUUGGGCUGUGGGGAGCUAAUAGCAUAACCGGUCUUUUUAGGC